GCGCUUGUAUCCGCGAUCUUGUCCUUUCGGUCACUACCCAGAGCUCAUGACCAUAGGUAAUCAGAGUACAAAUUAUGAGUAACUGUAUUCGGUAACAGUUACUGUUUCAGUGAGUGGUAAUUGGAUUACAGUUACUUUGGUGAAAUAAAUGGAUUACACAGAGGGAUUUUCCUUUUUUCACAUUUUGAGCUAUAUCCCUUUUUUUUUUUCUCCCCCGGUAAUUCCACUCAUUCACGGAAACUAAACCAGGACUAAAACAGGACUAAAACCAGGACUAAAACAGGACUAAAACCAGGACUAAAACAGGACUAAAACAGGACUAAAACCAGGACUAAAACCAGGACUAAAACAGGACUAAAACCAGGACUAAAACAGGACUAAAACCAGGACUAAAACGGGUCUAAAAUCAGGACUAAAACAGGACUAAAACAGGAUUUAACAGGACUAAAUCCUGCUGCGUGGACGUGUUUCCUCGUCUUCUAACAAUAAUAUUUUUAAUUUGGUUCAGUAAAGUCUGGGCUUUUCAUUUUCUUUUAGCAGACAAAAGUUCUUAUGUGAAGAUUUCCUCGUCUUUGCUUCUCUACAGCAAAUCAAGUAAUCCACAGUAUUCAGAUUACAUUACUCACUUUAAGUAAUUUAAUGGAUUACGUUACAAAGUACAUUUUGGGAUAUGUAAUCUGUAGGGGAAUACAUUUUAAAAGUCACCUUCCCAACACUGUUUAUGUAACUGACGAUAAUGUCAGUAUAUUUGUUUUCAUGGUAAUAAGUGAGAAAAAAAAGUGUCUUUAUUUUAGUUUUCAUGGUGUUUCAAUGUGUUGAUGGAGUUGAAGAUUACUGGGAAUAAAGUUUGACACACAUGAUCAUCAGUA